AGGGGUGUGGCUCAUUGGUGGAGUGUGUGCUUAGUAUGCACAAGAACCCUGGGUUCAAUCCCCAACACUCACUA
rnacentral:tRNA from 1 species